rnacentral:rRNA from 1 species
GAUGAACGCUGGCGGCGUGCUUAACACAUGCAAGUCGAGCGAGAAGUUUUGAAAAGAUUCUUCGGAUGAAAUUUAAAAUGGAAAGCGGCGGACGGGUGAGUAACGCGUAGGCAACCUGCCCCAUACAAAGGGAUAGCAUUUGGAAACGAAUAUUAAUACCUUAUGAAACUUAACUAGUGCAUGCUAGGUAGGUCAAAGAUUUAUCGGUAUGGGAUGGGCCUGCGUCUGAUUAGCUAGUUGGUGAGGUAACGGCUCACCAAGGCGACGAUCAGUAGCCGACCUGAGAGGGUGAACGGCCACAUUGGAACUGAGACACGGUCCAAACUCCUACGGGAGGCAGCAGUGGGGAAGAUUGCACAAUGGGGGAAACCCUGAUGCAGCAACGCCGCGUGAACGAUGAAGGCCUUUGGGUCGUAAAGUUCUGUUCUAGGUGAUGAAAACUGACAGUAACCGAGGAGAAAGCCCCGGCUAACUCCGUG